CCCUUUAUAUCCGUUGAUUUUGUUGUAAACAUAUAAAUUGACGGCUCAGAUUUAAAAAUAGAUCUACCAAACAUAAUUGCCCGAACACAUACAAACACCACCAUAUCCCCUACCAAUGCCACCGACCGAUUGUCUCCUGGGCUGAGACCUACCCUGUCUGUUCCAUGUAUCGUGCACGACCUGACCAAUUGUCUCCUGGACUGAGACCUACCUUGUCUGUUCCACGUAUCAUGCACAAUCUAUUUUUCUGUACAUCAUUUCCAUGUCUCGUGCACCACACAUGGGCCGGCCCUCCAGGCUGCUACUGCGUCGUUGCCCUUAGAAGAUCCUAUAAAAAGGUAGCGCUUAUAAAAAGGAAAACUUGAGUCACUACAACUCGAACACAGAAGACAAUAUAGACCAACAGUCCUCGCAACUAACGUGUCAAAAAACAAAACUUAUCCUUAUGUUUGAAAAUAUAUAUUUAAAUGUCUUAUUAUUCAUGUCAGAUUGGAACUAAGCUGUAUGUCAUCACGACUUAAUGUACAAUAAUCAUCUUCUCUAUUUUCUUCUUUCAGGUAAGUUUCCAUAAAUUACACCAUAGGUCGGCAUCAAACUCCGUUAUCUUCCCCGAUACACCAGAGCACACCUGGCCGAACACUCACAUCACCAGGGAUGCACCGGCGAGAAGAAUCAAUUCUGAUGAAGAAUUGCUUGAAUUGUGUAUCAUGGAGGAUGAAUUUUACCAUUCAAUAUGCCCGUUACCACCACAAUCGCACACCACGCUUGGUGAGAAAAUUUCUAAUUACCCGCACUCAUCUACGCAUAUGGAUUUCACCAACCUCCUAGACAUUGUCAAUCAUCCUAUUUUUGUCAUUGGUCGCUUACACAUGGUCCAUGCCAUCCGCAGGCAUGAACUGGAUGUUUCCAACUUUGAUGCAACAACAGCUAAGGAGCAUGUGCUAUUAAUGCUAUGUGUUCUAAGAUUUGCUGGUUGGCAUAUGGAAAGUAAUUUCACAUAUCACAAAUAUUGGAGUAGCUUAAUCUCUCUCUGUGGAAAGUGGAUACAUUUCUGUGUGUGAUUAACACCAAGGUUGUGUUUGCUUCUGCAUGUAUGCUACAUACCUGAGCUUCUUGCAUCUAGAUAUAUCCGAUGAGAUGUAUUCAUAUUAUUCAUGAUAGAGUCUAAUGCCAGUGAUUUUGUUGUCCAUUCCAAUGAAAUAAUCUUCUUUGUAAUUUUCAUUUAUUUGACUAGAAAAAUUGGUAGAUGUGGAAGAAGAUAUGAGGCGAGUCUCUGAAGUUCAUCAUCCAAUCCAAGCAUCACAAAAGUUGAGCACUAUUAUUCAACGGGAUUAAGAGUUAAUUUGCUAAUUUCUAUUAGAGGAAUCAGUAUAUCUGAGUGAAUAACUUUGAACUAGCUAAUAUUUUUGGAAUGGGUUUAGCUGCUAAUUCUAAAAUAGAAGACGGGAGUUGUGAGAGCUCUUGACCUAUGCUUAUUGAGUUAGAGGCGUGUGAUUUUCUCUACCGUUACACAUGCAUGUUUGCUAUCCAAUAAAAAAUAACUCAAUCCUAACCAUAUGCCAAUAGUAAUAGUCCAGAUUAGCUCACUUAUAAGCCAUGUAUAUAUAAGAGGGUUGCGAUACAACAUAAAUCAGAGAUUUGUGCCUUACCUCCAGAUAAAACUUCACCGGCGGCGCCAAUCCAAUACAGCUACCCAUGGAUGACGCGGAGGGAGAGAGGGGCCCAGUCCUUGAUAAAGUAAGAUCCGUGGACACCUUGAUCCUGACACAGAGGAGGGGCGCAGCAGGGCGACGAGGGAGGGGAUGCGGCCCGGCGCAAGUAUCUUGUAGAUUGAGGAGCUCGAAGGCGCAGACAAGCCAUCGACAUCGUGGUGGACCACGGGAUCCACCCCAGGUCGAUCUCCGCCCAUCCGGCCGAGCAGUGCUUGGGGCAGGGUAUGUGGGAUGCGGAGCCCGAUCCCGCGGGCGCACGGACAGAGUGCACCUCGUGCUGCACGACGCGCACCAGUCACC
rnacentral:lncRNA from 1 species